GAUGGGCAACAUAACCAGCUGGUGGAGGUUGUUUUUCCUUGGAACAUCUGUGUUAGAGGAGGAAGCUGUAAAAACCAGGAUCAGACGUUUAAUGGUUAAAAUCCAUUCCAUUUGGGUGAUGUCUCAGGAAUAUCAGAUGGUUGUUACCCCUGACCCGAGGACGGUUUAGGGCUGUAAAGCACAAACUGUUUUAAGUCUAACGAACCUGUUGUUGGACCACAUGUGCUGAAUAUUGGACCAUUUGCACGUUGCUGGACGCUACCAGGCCGUUUGGCGUCAUCGGCCAUUUUGUAUCCCAGGAUAGCCUGCUACUACGAAUCCCAGCGGCCACCGCGGCUGACAUGACGGGGCGUCCCAAGUCUGACGUCGCGGGAAAGCAUAAAUGAAGGUGGCCCCUUUAAAGCUUUGCUUUUCACGCUGGAAACCAGACCAGUAACUGAAGCGCAUCUCUGGAAAAGAAGAGGUCCCACGUGGAUUCUUCAUUUAUUCUCCUUCCUUGGCCAACGAAAAAUUCAUGAAAGAGGUUUCUGGAAUGAGAAGGCCAUAAAUUUCACUUUGCCGAUUGAAGACGUGAGUUUAACACAUAACCAAAAACCACGGAGUUUCAAGGAGAUGCAACUUUCCCUCCUUGUUUUGUACUAGUCGACUGCUGACGGUCAGAUAAUAUUUUUCCUUUUCGCCAAGGAGGCCAAAAGACAGAGAUUGACCACUUUCUUGGAGUAUCCGCGGACGCGUGGAACUCUUCAAGCCCCUUUUUUUCUCUCACUCGCUGCCCCAGAAGGAAGACUUCAAUGAGUAAAAUCCACCUUUCAAUUAUAUUUCUUUAUUAAGAAUAGUGUGGACAGGGUAGAGUAGGUUUUAGUGCGAUGUAGAAUCGCCACUUAUAGUCUAAUGUGUUCUGAAUUGUAUGUGCAUGCCAUUGUUCUUUUGAAACGUGAUUACUGUUGUUUUCUGAGGCCGCCGAGUCUCGCAAGA